AAAAUACGUUACCGAAUUAUAAUAAAAACGGAAAAACGACAAAUAAACAAUUAAAAAAGAUUACCCGCAAAACGGCCAUAUAUUAUUAUAUAAUAAAAAAAAAUAUAAAACGUACGAAUUGACGAUUAAAUAUAAAUAGGAAAAUAAAAUAAAAAUUUUAAAUAAAUUAUUCGAAAAAUUUAUAUAACGCGAGGCCGAUAUAUUAUUAAUUGCAAAAAGAUUAUAACCGGUGGAUAAACGCUAAUUUAAAAACCAAAAAAUUUUUAAAUUACGUUUUAUAAACGAAAUUAAAGGAUAAUUUAAACAAUUAUAUAAAAAAUUACGUUUUAUAAUGCAAAAUUAUAAUAAUAACGAAUUAAAGGUUUUAUUUACGCAAUUACCCACGAUAAUAUAAUAUAACCAACGGUUUAUAUUAAUAUUUAUACCGGUUUUAAAAAAACGCGGAUAUAAUUUUAUAUUCCGAAAUAUUAACCAAAUAUAUAUAUAAAAUUCUACAAAAUUCCAAAAAAAACGUUUUAAUGCGUAUAUCGAAAAAAUAAUAUAUAGGUUCCCGAAAAAUACGGUUUUUAAAUGUUUUAAAUUUUUAUACGGUUUCGCCGAGGCGGAAUUAUACUAAUUUAUUAUAUAUUAAUAAUAUUAUAAAAAACGUUUAAAUUGCGUUUUAUCGAAUUAUAAUCCGUAUUUAUUUUUUUCCAAACCGGGAAACGAUUCUGGUAUAAUAAAAAUAUAAAUGAAUAAUAUAUUAAAUUUGGGAAAUUAAAAAUAUAUUUAAAAAAAAACAACGAAAAUUCGAAAAAAUAGGUUUUUAAACCAAAUUAUAAACGAUUAUAAAAUUAAAAAACGAAUAAAAUUUUAACGGUUAUCGAAUUAAAUUGCACGAAAACGGUUUAAAAAUUCGUUAAAAAAACCAAAUAAAUAGGUUAAAAACGGUAAAACCGAAUUAAAUCGGAUUUAAAUAUAAAUUUGUCGUUUAAAAAACGCGAAAAACGUACGUUAUAUUAAUUUAUUAACCGGAAACGGCGUUUAAUUUCGCCGCAACGGCGCAAAUAAUAAUAUCGGAUAAAAAAAUCACAAAUUUAUAAAUAAAUAUAUAAAUUGACAAUAGGAAAACGCGCAAAAAAAGUUUUUUUACAUUCCCGUAAAUUUUAAAAAAGCGAAAUUAUUUGUAUUUGUCGACGGUUUUUUUAUAAAUAAUAAAAAUUUAAAUUUACAAAUCGGUUUUAUUAUUAUAUUGGGUAAUAAAAAUUCCGACAAAUAAAAAAUGGGUUUUCGCGUUAUUGGUAAUAUUUUAUAUUGGGUAUCGAAUAAAUGUUAUAAAUUAAUAAAAAAUGUGCCAAUUAAUAAAAUUUAUAAUAUAAUAAACGGGUUUAAUAUAAAAUUUAUGUUAAAAAUUAUUAUCGUUACCAUUAUAAAUUUGUUAAACUUAUUUUUUAUAUUUAUAAUUAUAUAUAUUAAUAAUUUGUUAUUAUAUUAGUAUUUAGUACAAUUGGAAAUAAUUCGGAAAAAGGUUUAUAAUUCAGUUUUUAAAUUUAAAAUAAUUGUACGAAAAUAGGGAAAUUGACAAAAUUCGGUGGACUUUUGGGAAAAUUAACCCAAUUAAUAUAAUAACGAAAAAAACGCCAAAUUGGGUUUUAAAUAAAUUUGUAAAUGUAAAUUUAACGUUUAUAUAAAUUAAAAAAUGGAUUAAAAAAUUACGGGGUACGGAAAAAAUUCGCGGAAAUUUGGUUUAAAAUAAAUUUAAUUAAAACGUACGGACGUUAAAAACGUUAAAAAAAUAGCAAAUUAUUAUUUAACCGAAUCGAAAUUAAAUUAGAAAAAACCGCAAAAAUAUUUAAAAAUAACCGGAACGUUUUUGCAAUAUUUAUAAUAAAAUAAAAACAACGAAAUAAAAUUUUAAUAUUUAAAAUAUUAAUUUGUUUUUAAAUAUUUCCGGUUCGAAUUUCCUAUUAAAUACCGUUUUAAAUUUUUUUUUUAUUAUCGUUUUUUUAAUUAUUAUUAAUUAUAACGUUAAAAACGUCGGAAUCGGUAUUAAUAAUUUUUUCGAUUUACAAAACGUUAAAUUAGCGAAUUACCGCGGUAUAACCCGCGGAACGACGUUCCGCCGACGAAAAAAAUUUGAAAUUGUCGUUCGAAAACGUAUUUUUUUAUAAAUAAUUAUUAAAAAUAUAUAUUUAAUUAUUACGCGUUAACGGUCGAAAUUUUAAAAAACGUUCGUUAAUUUAAAAAACGCAAAAAAACGUUAGGGGAAAAAAAAUUUACAGCAAUUGUGGUAAUUGAAAUUUUAGACGGCAAAACGUCGUUUUUGCGUUUGCGAAAUAUUACGGUAAUUGUUCCGGUAUUAUUAUUACAAUUGGUUUUUAUUUCGUUUUUAAACAAUUUUUUGGCAAUAUAUAAAUUAUAAACGCGCAAAAAUAAUAUUGCAAAUUUAAAAACAAUUGUUAAAUUGGAAAAACGUUAAAAAAACGUUAUAAAAAUUUUUUUUUUAAAAAAAAUUGUCGUAAAAAUAUUUUAUAUUAAUUUGUACAAAUAUUUUUAUUUAUAUUUUAUAUAACGUCCAAAAAACGGAUUUAUAUUAAAAUAAACUUUCAAACGAUUAACCGCAAUUUGUUUUUUUACCAAAUAAAAAUUUAAAUAACCGAAAUAAAAAAUAGGUUUCGGACCGAUAAAAAUAGGACUGUUAUUAAAAAUU
rnacentral:sRNA from 1 species